GUCGUAACAAGGUCUCCGUUGGUGAACCAGCGGAGGGAUCAUUACAGAGUUUUCUAAACUCCCAACCCUAUGUGAACUUACCUUUGUUGCUUCGGCGGCGGAGGCUACCCUGCGGGAGAAUACCACUUAGUGGUUACCCUGUAGUUUCAGGUACAUCAGCUACCCGGUAGUCAUCCCCGCCGGCGGCCAACUAAACUCUGUUUUCUUUGGAAUUCUGAAUAACAAACUUAAUAAGUUAAAACUUUCAACAACGGAUCUCUUGGUUCUGGCAUCGAUGAAGAACGCAGCGAAAUGCGAUAAGUAAUGUGAAUUGCAGAAUUCAGUGAAUCAUCGAAUCUUUGAACGCACAUUGCGCCCAUUAGCAUUCUAGUGGGCAUGCCUGUUCGAGCGUCAUUUCACCACUUAAGCCUUGUUGCUUAGCGUUGGGAGCCUACGGCACGGCCCGUAGCUCCUUAAAGUGAUUGGCGGAGUUGGUUCUCACUCUAAGCGUAGUAAUUAUAUCUCGCUUCUGUAGUGGUCCCGGCCCCUGCCGUAAAACCCCUUAUACAAAGGUUGACCUCGGAUCAGGUAGGAAUACCCGCUGAACUUAAGCAUAUCAAUAAGCCGGAGGA
rnacentral:rRNA from 1 species